rnacentral:rRNA from 1 species
UACAGAGGUCCCGAGCGUUGUUCGGAUUCACUGGGCGUAAAGGGUGCGUAGGUGGCGAGGUAAGUCGGAUGUGAAAGCUCGGAGCUCAACUCCGAAAUGGCAUUGGAAACUACCUUGCUCGAGGGUUGGAGGGGGGACUGGAAUACUUGGUGUAGCAGUGAAAUGCGUAGAUAUCAAGUGGAACACCAGUGGCGAAGGCGAGUCCUUGGACAACUCCUGACACUGAGGCACGAAAGCUAGGGGAGCAAACAGG